rnacentral:rRNA from 1 species
AUUAACGCUAGCGGCAGGCAUAAUACAUGCAAGUUGAACGGCAGCACAGGUAGCAAUACUGGGUGGCGAGUGGCGCACGGGUGCGUAACACGUAUGCAACCUACCCUAUACAGGCGAAUAACCUUUAGAAAUGAGGGCUAAUACGCCGUAGUAUUACAGAUGGGCAUCUAUUUGUAAUUAAAGAUUUAUCGGUAUAGGAUGGGCAUGCGUCCCAUUAGUUAGUUGGUAAGGUAACGGCCUACCAAGACGAUGAUGGGUAGGGG